CACUAUCGUUAACUGAAUACAUAGGUUAACGAGGCGAACCGGGGGAACUGAAACAUCUAAGUACCCCGAGGAAAAGAAAUCAACCGAGAUUCCCCAGUAGCGGCGAGCGAACGGGGAGCAGCCCAGAGUCUGAAUCAGCUUGUGUGUUAGUGGAACGGUCUGGAAAGUCCGACGGUACAGGGUGAUAGUCCCGUACACCAAAAUGCACAGG
rnacentral:rRNA from 1 species